rnacentral:rRNA from 1 species
AGAGUUUGAUCCUGGCUCAGGACGAACGCUGGCGGCGUGCUUAACACAUGCAAGUCGAGCGAGAGAGAUGUCUUCGGACAUCAAUCUAGCGGCGGACGGGUGAGUAACACGUGGGCAACCUGCCUUAGUGAGGGGGAUAGCCUUCCGAAAGGAAGAUUAAUACCGCAUAGAAUAAUAUGUACACAUGUAUAUAUUAAGAAAGGAGAAAUCCGCACUAAGAUGGGCCCGCGGCGCAUUAGCUAGUUGGAGAGGUAACGGCUCACCAAGGCAACGAUGCGUAGCCGACCUGAGAGGGUGAACGGCCACAUUGGAACUGAGAGACGGUCCAGACUCCUACGGGAGGCAGCAGUGGGGAAUAUUGCACAAUGGAGGGAACUCUGAUGCAGCAACGCCGCGUGAGUGAAGAAGGUCUUCGGAUUGUAAAGCUCUGUUAAUCGGGACGAAAAAAAUGACGGUACCGAUAGAGGAAGCCACGGCUAACUACGUGCCAGCAGCCGCGGUAAUACGUAGGUGGCGAGCGUUGUCCGGAAUUACUGGGCGUAAAGGAUGCGUAGGUGGAUAAUUAAGUCAGAUGUGAAAAUCCCGGGCUCAACUUGGGAACUGCAUUUGAAACUGGAUAUCUAGAGUGCAGGAGAGGGAAGCGGAAUUCCUAGUGUAGCGGUGAAAUGCGUAGAUAUUAGGAAGAACACCAGUGGCGAAGGCGGCUUUCUGGACUGUAACUGACACUGAGGCAUGAAAGCGUGGGGAGCAAACAGGAUUAGAUACCCUGGUAGUCCACGCCGUAAACGAUGGAUACUAGG